GGAGAGGUGGGCGAGUGGUUUAAGUCGCACGCCUGGAAAGCGUGUUUAGGCUAAUACCCUAACGCGGGUUCGAAUCCCGCCCUCUCCGCCA
rnacentral:tRNA from 1 species